AUGCCGCUCAAGCUCGUGCUCGCCGUGGUUGCUCCGGUGGGCUUGACGUGCUGCAUACUGAAACUCGCCGGCGUCCCCUGGCCAAUCAUCAUCCGCAUCGCCGGCGUCCUGCUCGCCUUCCUCUUCAUCGCGGCGUUGUGCCAGCGCGCGCAGGCCCGCGCUAGGUCGCAACGCCAACUCCUGCAAGAUCCAGAGGGGGAUCAGUCGUCCAUGGCCGCGCUUCCGCGCGAACCGGCCGUCGGGCUAGGCCGGGCGGCGCUCGCCGGCCUGCCUGUGUACAAGUACGAGAAACUGAGGUGCAGCGGCGGAGAGGGCCACGAGUGCGCGGUGUGCCUCGCCGAGAUCAAGCCCAAGGAGGUGGUGAAGCAGCUGCCGGCGUGCACGCACCUCUUCCAUGACCGGUGCAUCGACGAGUGGCUCUGGUCUCACAGGACGUGCCCCGUCUGCCGGUCUCCGGUCGAUGGCUCCACCGUGCCGGCCGUGGAAGUUGCCGCCCGUGCUAUGCAAUUUGUUUAG
rnacentral:rRNA from 1 species